AUAGCCUUAGGAAUUUAUUUAAGGUUUAGCCUGCCCAAUGUUUAAAUUAAUGGCCGCAGUACCUUAACUGUGCAAAGGUAGCAUAAUCAAUUGGCUUUUAAAUGGAGUCUUGUAUGAAAGGAGUGACGUGGUAAAGCUGUCUCAAUUUUGUUUUAUUUAACUUACUAAAAAGGUGAAAAAUCCUUUAAUUAUGGAAAAAAGACGAGAAGACCCUUAGAGUUUUUAUAAAAGUUUAUUAAUAUAAGCUAAGUAUUUGUUGGGGCGACAAGGAAACAAAUAACUUUCCUGUUUUACUAGACGUGUUUUCAAAGUAAGAUUAAACUACCUAAGGGAUAACAGCAUAAUUCUUUUUGAGUUUGUGACCUCGAUGUUGGACUAGGAACUAACCAGACAAGCCGUCUGGCUUUGUGGCUCUGUUCGAGCUU
rnacentral:rRNA from 1 species